rnacentral:rRNA from 1 species
GCCAAAAACCUAGCCUAUUGAAACUUUAUGAACCUAUAACUAUUAUGUGUUAUAAACUAAAACAUUCUACUAUUUUAGUAAAGGAGAUUAAAAAAAUUGUAAGAGCUAUAGAUGUAGUACCGCAAGGGAAAGGUGAAAUAAAAAUGAAAUAAACCUAAAGCAUAAAAAAGUAGAGAUUUCAUCUCGUACCUUUUGCAUCAUGGUUUAACUAGUCUAACCAAGCAUAAAGCAUUAUAGUUUGACUUCCCGAAACUAAGCGAGCUACUUCAAGGCAGCUUUGUGAGCGAACCCGUCUCUGUUGCAAAAGAGUGGGAUGACCUUCAAGUAGGGGUGACAGACCUAACGAGCUUAGUGAUAGCUGGUUACUCAAAAAAAGGAUCUUAGUCCAACCUAACGUUUCUCUUAAAAUUUAAAUUUACCCUGAACUUUAGAGCAAUUCGAAUAAGGUACAGCCUAUUCGAAACAGGAUACAACCUUCACUGACGGGUAACUAAUUAAGCUAUUCAACUAAGUGGGCCUAAAAGCAGCCACCUUUAAAAAGCGUCAAAGCUUAAUUGAAAAAUUCAACUAAUCCCCUUAGCCUUUAUUAACCCUCUUUUAUUAUUGAGUAAUUCUAUACCCCUAUAGAACCUAUUAUGUUAAAACUAGUAACAAGAAGCCAAACCUUCUCUGAGCUGUAAAUGUAGACCAGAAAGGAUAACCCGCUGGUAAUUAACGCCCAUGAGCCUAUAUUAGCAACUCCCCAAGAAAACCCUAAUUCUCCAUACGUUAACCUAACACAAGAACACCCCCAGAAAGAUUUAAAGAAAAAGAAGGAACUCGGCAAACAUAAACUCCGCCUGUUUACCAAAAACAUCGCCUCUUGACUUAAAUAAGAGGUCCAGCCUGCCCAGUGACCCCAGUUCAACGGCCGCGGUAUCCUAACCGUGCGAAGGUAGCGUAAUCACUUGUUCUUUAAAUGAGGACUAGUAUGAAUGGCAUCACGAGAGUUUUACUGUCUCCUUUUUCUAAUCAGUGAAACUGUUCUCCCCGUGAAGAAACGGGGAUAAACAUAUAAGACGAGAAGACCCUAUGGAGCUUUAAACUUUAUUUCAACUGCUUUCUCCUCAUAACCAGCCCCGGCCUCUCUUAUGGAAUUAAGCAUCAUGAUAAUAAAUUUUAGGUUGGGGUGACCACGGAGCAUAAAAAAACCCCCGUAUUGAAUAAAAGGCCUCAAGCCCUGAACUAAGAGUUACAACUCCAAGUACUAAUAAUUUAACAUCCAUUGACCCAAUAUUUUUGAUCAACGAACCAAGUUACCCUAGGGAUAACAGCGCAAUCUACUUUAAGAGCCCCUAUCGACAAGUAGGUUUACGACCUCGAUGUUGGAUCAGGGUAUCCCAGUGGUGCAGCCGCUACUAAAGGUUCGUUUGUUCAACGAUUAAAACCCU